rnacentral:ncRNA from 1 species
CUAUUUUGGUGAAAUAUAAAUAUUUCUUAAAAGGGAAAAGGGUGAAAAUCCCUUACGGUCCAGCCACUGUAUUGAGGAGUAAAUUUUUGGUAUACCACUGCGUUUUUUGCGGGAAGGUAAAAAUUUAUAAUGAAUCUGAGUCAGGAGACCUGCCAUUAUAGCUU